CUCCUCCCAUGAUACAGCAUCACAUGAUGGUAAUAUGUUGUUUUUAUGCUACCUUCCUCCAGGGAUCCUAAAGCUUUGGGACACAUUUGCUUUGCAUUCCUAAGAGACUAUGAGAAGUGAAGUUCACUGAGAAGGAGUUUAUACGUGGGACGCCUACCACAGCAUGGCUGCCAAGCAGUGCCAUGUCCGCACCCGGGAUCCGAACCAGCAAACCCCGGGCCGCCAAGAAGCGGAACGUGCGAACUUAACCGCUGCGCCACCGGGCCGGCCCCUAUUUAUCCUUCAUUUUUGAAGGGUAAUUUCACAGGGGAGGAAGACAUUUCCUCUACCCGCUGUGGGUUCUUCUGGCUGGAGAACAAAUUAAAUUCACAUGACACAGAAUAACAGGAGAAAAUUAAACAAAGCUUUACAACAUGUGUACAUGGGAGAGGCUCAGGCAAGCUGAGCAACUUGCCAAAAUGGCUGAAGCCACCACCUUAAAUAUCAUCUUCAGCCCUCCUGUACAUAGAUGUAUAUUCUAGUUGUGAGUGCCUCUGGUUGUGCUAUGUGGGACGCCGCCUCAGCAUGGCCUGAUGAGCAGUGCCAUGUCUGCACCCAGGAUCCAAACCGGCAAAACCCUGGACCGCUGAAGCGGAGCGUGCAAACUUAUCCACUCGGCCACAGGGCUGGACCCCGUAUUUGGUAUUUUUAAACAGAAUUUAUGAUCUAGUGAAUGGAAAUGUCUAAAUAACAACAAAAGUGAGUGAAGGAGGAAAAAAAUAUAAUUCAGGCUACUUUGAGAACUACCAUGAGCUUCCCGCAAAGGAGUAUGAUAUAGGAGAAAACCAGAAUUAACAAAGAUAAAGAGUUCGCUUCUUGCUUUGCCAUAACUCAAACUCAGGUAACACAUUGCUUUGCUGUAGCUUUUGAAGACACUGUUUCAUUGAAUAGAUAAUUAUCAUGAUUAUAGGUAUACAAAUAGAUAUUAAAGUGUUUAACUGUAGUCUUAUUUUCUUAGAGUUCUAAAUAAUUCCUCAUAACCUUAUUGUUUUAAUAUUUUCCAUGAAAAAAGUUCAUUAAGCCUAGGGUCAAUAGACGUCAUUCUAAUCCUUCCCAAUGUUUUGAUUUAGUAAAAUUAAUAUUAUAAUGAGACUGUACUAGUGGUAAUUUCGAUUUGCCUGGCUUAAAAUGUUGGGAAACCCAUCCUGUCUCACGGUAACUCUGAGCUGCCUUAGAUGCUAUUCUUGACUUUGAAUUUCAUCAGUUCUAUUUAUGGAUUGUAUUUAUGUGUUUUUUGGUUGUUUCUUAACACAUUUGAGUGUAUCUACUUUCUCUUCUUCCAAUAUGUAAUCAAUACUCUCAGUAUGCUGUUCUUUUCAAUGAUUAAAAAGUAGAUUUAUCUCUAAUCCAGUGGUCAUAACUACGCAUCCAACAAAGUUCACUCUAAGACCAAAAUGCAGUCAUUAGAUUUUCCUCUUUAGUCCUGAGUACUUGCUAGAAGCCACCACUACCUGUGGCUUCUUUGUGAACUAAGGCAGGUAAGAACAGUUAUCUUCCUUUCCUGUCAUAAUGUUAGUCGUUUCUGAGGCGCUGCCCUGAGGAAUGCAGAGGGAGGAGUGGAGAAGAAAUCUGCUGUCCAGACCUUCUCCAGUUUGAGUAUGGGUGAUAUUCAUAUACUAAGGUUGUACUAAGCCUUUUGAGAUGGCUGUGCCAGGAGUAGGAACUCGCGCAUCCUGUCCUGAGUCUUGUGUUGCUUCAGAACAUGACUCAGCAAUCAUCAGAGUGGGAGCUGAGGGUAGAAUGGCCCAUGGCAGGCCAUCCCUGAAACAUCAUAAGAGAGUCUUUCACCAGAGUGUUGACAUAUCUUCUAACUGACAAAGAUGAGUGGAAAAUAGGCUAUCCUUGAAAUCGUAGGCCUGGGACACAACUUCUUUUGCCAAAGUAUUUGGCCCUAAAUCCAUAACUUGACAUAACUUAACUUAAGCCAUUCGCUAAUGACAUAAAAAGAAAUUUGUAUCAUUCCUGGGGAAGAGCGCUAGUGAUAAAGAAGACAAAAUCAAUCAGCGAUGGAAAGGUAUCAUCGUUAUGGAAGCUGUAUGAAGCUCAGAGAUCAAAUGCCAAUUAACUAAAACUCAAUUUAAAAGCAAUUCAGCUGUGAGGGUGGACACAUGUCAUUAUGCAUUUGUCAAAACCCAUAGAAGGUACAUCACAAGGAGGGAACCCCAAUGUAAACUAUGGACUUUAGUUAAUAAUAGUGUAUCAGUAUUGGCUCACCAAUUGUAACAAACAUACCACACUAGUCAUGCAAGAUGCUAAUAACAGAGGAAACUGUGUGGUUAGGGGACAGAGGAGGUGAGGGGGUCUAUGGGAACUCUUUGUGCUUUCUGCUCAAUUUUUCUGUAAACUUGAAAGUGUUCUAAAAAAU
rnacentral:lncRNA from 1 species